GCGCAGAGAGACCUUUGUCAUCCACGCUGCCAAAAGGAGCACCUGGUACACCCUAUAGGUGUGCCUUGUGUUUCACGUGUUUUCAUUUCCUGUUUGUGUCAUCCCAAAAAGCAGGGACGGAGCAAAUGGGACUGGUUCCCACUGUUGCUGGGUGAAGGCUUUUUACAGGCUGCUGUAUUGAUGUCAUCUUUUUUUCACCCCAAGUUUGGCUUUUCCCAUGCUUUUCCCGUAGCUGCUGCAUUGGGUGUCCCCAGGAGGGCUGGGUUCCUCAGCAGGGGUCUUAGGAGUUGCUAUGGAUUCUGAUUUUUCUGAAGCUGUAUGGAAGUGUGCUAGCGAAUCAGCUCUUUUCUCUCCUGAAAAGCUUUCCAUCUAUGUCCACCCGUGCGUCUCUGUGUUUUAAUCACGUAGCCGGACGCGCUGAGGUUCUUACUUUCUAAGCCAAAAGCUGAAGCAGAUGACCGUUUGCUUUGUGUGUGUGAGGAGUGGCAUUUGUGCUGGAGAGCUGCGGUUGGGAACAAAAGAUGGACUUAAUGUGCUCUGGGGACGGGCACGGGAGGAAACGCACAGAAAGGCAAGGCAGUGAUGAUUGCGGAGGAGAAAUGAGAGGUGGUUGCUUCCGAUCCGUGGGGACUUUCCUUGGGAGUGAUCGAUCAGAGAGCGUAUGGAAGUAGAGAGCAUCUUCUGGCUGCUUCUGUUCUGUAAACUUCUCCCUGGCUUCACAGGUCCGUGCUGGAGAGUGGGAGAAGGGUCCCUGCUGGCUGCCGUGUCCUGGGUGGGCACAGAGCUCUGACCUUGGCCAGAUGGGCUGGUUUCCGGGUGUUUUGAUCCUGACGUCGCCAAAGCCUCAGGUUUGCUGAAUUGGGGCUCCUACCUGUGUGACCCGUGAAAUGUCCCGGAAGCUGAUCGAUGUCUUCCUGCUCCCGCUGUGUUCAUUUGGGCUGUGCUUCAGGCUUCUCUCCCUGGGCCCUUGCCGUUGCCGUAUCUCUUGGAUGCCGUGCAGAACGGAAUCAGGCAGCCAAGCCUCAUGUUCACCUUCUCCCUCACCCUCUGCGCUGCUCGUGUGGCACAGCAGAUCCUGAAGCCAGAGGAGCACGUGUACAUAAGGGUAAAGAGAUUCCUUCUGUCACACCGGUAUUUGGACCUGAGGAAGGUACCAGGUUUUCUCCAGCUUUUCUACAGUUUUGAUUUUGAGCGCACAAGGAGUUGUGCUGUGUAUGCUCUGUGAGCACAAGAAAAGAAUGUUCUGCCCCGGCUAGCUACAAUUCCUCUUUGAGUUUAGACUGACUGUUCCCAAUGGAUGUUAGCGAUUAAAUUUGAUAGGAAUGGAAAAUUGAGAAGUCCAGAAGAAGCUGUGUACAAAACAGCACGAGUGGAUCCUCAGAUUUCUUGGGGAAGGGCUGCGUGACAAACAUUGCUGUGAGCUCUAUGUCUACCAGAGGAUUUUCCGGGUCAUUCUUUCCUUUCUCAGCAGUCCUUUGUGUGACCAGGGCUCCCAGAGUCCUAUUCUGGAGAUACGACAGAGUGCUGCCCGUGUCACCUCUAGAGCUGCCCAUGAGCCGAUAGAGGAUCACAGCCUCCUCUCGUGGGUCCUGCACGGCUUAGAGAAAAGGUAACCAGCCAAGUACGGGAGACGUGGGGACAAUUUCCUGUCCACGGCUGAAGAAUGACGUGGCUGAGGAUGAAAGCAAGGGGGACAGACCUGGAGACGGGGGCACCGAGGGCUGCACUGGCAGAACUUGCUGAACGCUGAGGUGUCCCUUGUGUUUUUGAGAAGAGAAUCAAGAGGCUUUCAGGUGGUGGUGGGAGGGACGAUGGUGGGGGGGCUGUGUGAUUUGGGAAUCACUUCCUUGACAAAGCAAAAGGACACCUUGUGCUGGUGUCUUUAGCUUUGAAAUUUCAAGCAGCCUCAGUUCCCAUCCUGUCACAGGACCUGCUGCACAGGAAGUGGCACAGUAAUGGAUUUGAGCUGUCUAGAACGUUACUUCUCCUCCCCUUGCCUCUCCCUGACAAAAAAAAUCUCUUCUGCAAGCACAGAGUGCCCUGACAGGUUCAGGCAAGUGCACCAAAAGUGCCCUAGAAUAUGGUCCCCCGUAGGAGAUGGACCAGCUGCUGGUGAGGAUCUGCCUUUCAAAUGUGGUUUUCUUUUCUUUUUUUUCUUUUUGUUCUGUUUCAUUUUGUUUUUCAGGUUUCUGGAGAACCAGGUGAUAAAUAAAAUGAUUUCCUUACUCCAUCCUUUGUGGCUAAUAAAUUUAGGAGACAAGAGAGAAAACAGGAAUCGGUCCCAGAUGCUGCUGUUGAGAUGGAUAUAUGAUCUAUCUAUCUGUAUAUAGAUAUAUGUAUAUACGUAUAUCUGUGUAGUGAUAAUAAUGGGAUUUUUUAUGAUACGUUGCUUCACCGUUUUAUAUUUUUAAUAAAGUGUGAUUUUAAGUUA